AUUGAACGCUGGCGGCAUGCCUUACACAUGCAAGUCGAACGACAGAGGACCUUCGGGUGCCGGCGAGUGGCGAACGGGUGAGUAAUGCAUCGGAACGUACCUUUCAGUGGGGGAUAACGUAGCGAAAGUUACGCUAAUACCGCAUAUUCUGUGAGUAGGAAAGCAGGGGAUCGCAAGACCUUGCGCUGAUUGAGCGGCCGAUGUCAGAUUAGCUAGUUGGUGAGGUAAAGGCUCACCAAGGCGACGAUCUGUAGCGGGUCUGAGAGGAUGAUCCGCCACACUGGAACUGAGACACGGUCCAGACUCCUACGGGAGGCAGCAGUGGGGAAUUUUGGACAAUGGGGGCAACCCUGAUCCAGCCAUGCCGCGUGAGUGAAGAAGGCCUUCGGGUUGUAAAGCUCUUUCGGCCGGGAAGAAAUCGCACGGGCUAAUACCCUGUGUGGAUGACGGUACCGGAAUAAGAAGCACCGGCUAACUACGUGCCAGCCGCCACGGUAAGAC
rnacentral:rRNA from 1 species